CAGUCCUGGUUUUCCUCACUCUACCUCUGCUAAAACUUUUACCUCCAGUUUGGGAUCUGCAUCCUCUCUCUUGUUCCACAUAGCCAGGUGUGAGAAAUAUUGAUUGUACUACUCUCCCAACUCAAGAAUGCAGGGAGGAAAAAAACAACUUGGAAUGAUUCAUGGUAUCAAUGGAAAGGAGCUGAUGAGGAAAGACACAGACUCCUCAAGAGCACAGAAAUGUGGAAAAGACCAGAAGAUUAACAACACACUGAUGAAACGAGCAGAGAACCUCCUGCCUCCAAGUUCAUCAAAACCAAAGACAUGUACACAACUACCUAUAAUGUAGGCCAGACCACAUAAAUGUUAAAGCAAUGCUUUAAAGUCUUCUGAAAAAUAAUGCCUUAACUA